CCCUGUGUGGUGCAUAAUGGUGAAUGCGCUUGGCUGCUAACUGAAAGGUUGGAGGUUCAAGUCCACCCAGAGGUG
rnacentral:tRNA from 1 species